UACGUAGGUGGCAAGCGAUACUCGGAAUCACUAGGCGUAAAGCGCAGGUAGGCGGUUUGGUAAGUCUUUUGUGAAAGCUCCCGGCUCAACUGGGAGAGGUCAAGGGAAACUACCAGACUAGAGUGUGGUAGGGGAGACUGGAAUUCCUGGUGUAGCGGUGAAAUGCGCAGAUAUCAGGAGGAACACCGAUGGCGAAGGCAGGUCUCUGGGCCACUACUGACGCUGAGAAGCGAAAGCAUGGGGAGCGAACAGG
rnacentral:rRNA from 1 species